rnacentral:rRNA from 1 species
UACGGAAGGCAGCAGUGGGGAAUAUUGCACAAUGGGCGCAAGCCUGAUGCAGCCAUGCCGCGUGUAUGAAGAAGGCCUUCGGGUUGUAAAGUACUUUCAGCGGGGAGGAAGGCGAUGCGGUUAAUAACCGCGUCGAUUGACGUUACCCGCAGAAGAAGCACCGGCUAACUCCGUGCCAGCAGCCGCGGUAAUACGGAGGGUGCAAGCGUUAAUCGGAAUUACUGGGCGUAAAGCGCACGCAGGCGGUCUGUUAAGUCAGAUGUGAAAUCCCCGGGCUUAACCUGGGAACUGCAUUUUGAAACUGGCAGGCUUGAGUCUUGUAGAGGGGGUAGAAUUCCAGGUGUAGCGGUGAAUGCGUAGAGAUCUGGAGGAAUACCGGUGGCGAAGGCGGCCCCUGGGACAAAGACUGACGCUCAGGUGCGAAAGCGUGGGGAGCAAACGAGGAUUAGGAUACC